CUCCUUCUGUUCUUCCAUUUGAUUCUCUUUUCUUUUAUUCUUUCCCUUUUUUAUUUGAGUCUUUCUGGGAAGAAGAUCCCCGUAUGUUUUUAUGUAAUGGGCAUAUUUGUGCUUACAGUAGGCAAACAAGAACAUGUUAUCUUUUGAUAUUUAUUUUGACAAGUAUUUGUAAUCAUUGUAAGCGCUAAUAUCGUGUGGCUUAUAGUGCUGCAAAUCGUUUAUGAAGUAUUAAUUAACAAAGCCUAGGCUAAAUUGUUUGAAUGAAAAUGAGUAGAGGCAAUCUUUAGGUUCGACCCUAAAAUCAAUUUGAACAUAUUAUCCAUUCUGCACACUCAGAAUAGAUUAAAUACAGCGAGAUAUUUCCUCUGAUGCUGAUUUCUGUGUAAUAUUCACAUGCUUCCUAUACAUUAAAACACACUGAAUGGGAAAACCAUUAAGACUUGUUCAAUGAUGUUUCAUCCGAGGCUGGUUAGAUGUCACAAUGGGGAGUUAUGAGAGGAAAAAAAUGAAGUAAAGGUUGUUUUUUUUGUCGCAGAAAAUAUGAAAAGAUAAGGACUAAUUCAUAUAAAUCAAAGAUAAAUGGCUGAAAUAUCUGUGUAUUGUACAAGUCAGAGGACAUUUUGCACAGCCCACGCAGCAGGUGGCGGUAAUGCACAGACAUGAAAAUACACAUAUGACCAGAAGAAGAAAACUCGAAGCGCCUGGGUGGAGAAAUGUAGUGUGGAGGUUCAGCAUUACGAUAGAGGGUCUGGGGGGGAAAGGGGAUAUGUAAGACAUUUAGAAUUGGAAAGGGUAAUUUAGGCAUUGAGUGUUACAUUUAUACUUUUGUGUAUUUAAAUCCUGUAGUUGAUAUGGAAAGUUAAAUAGCUCCUUCUCUUUGAAUAUGGUUUUCAAGCGACGGUCUGUUCUGCAGCGUGGCUGAAAAACUCAACACGUGUGUGGGGGGGGGGGGGGGGGGUCCCUCUUCAGUAUUGAGGUCAGCUGAAGAACAAGGUUGUGACCUGACAUGCAUGUACUGUAAGUAUUUGCAGUCCUGAUGUGUGUAAUAAAGUAAAAAAGCCAUCCCAAUGAUUAUACCAAUCACUACCCAUCUGACCCAUUCAUAUGUCUGGGGGAGAUUAUACAUGAAAUACUAAAUGAGGGUU